UUUUUUUUUUUUUUUUUUGUCCAAGUCAAUUUUUAAUUUCAUCAUUUUCAGCAUAUGUUACAAAUACUAUGACUGUUGUUCUUGCCCAAUCAGCUCCCUCCCAUCUCUCCACCAGUUUGUUUGUAUUUAACUUGUAGCUGAGUGGAGGAAAGGAGAGUUUUAGAUUCAGUUCUUAAUUGGGGCCAUCAAUUCAUUCUUUCUCUCUCUCUCUUUUUAUUUCUGCCUGUGACAGUUCCCAGCCCCAUUCUCAUGAUAAAGAAAUGUUGGGGACAAGGUUGUGGCAAGGACAGCUCCUCUGUGAGCUCCUUGUUGUGGCUACUCCAGCAGUCAGGCAGUCUCCUAUCCCUCCUAUUCCCACACACACACCCCCUUUACACCUGAUGAUCUGUGAGGUUCAAGUGUGUGUGAGUGUAUGUGUGUAGUGCUUUAUUUUGUCACUUCCUUAAGUUUAAAUGGCUUAUUGAUGGCUGCAAAAGUAUUGAAUAAUUCUCCCUCUCCCCCAUAGUACACACAGUAGGUACCUCAAUACACAUUCAAAAGAAGGAGUUAAUAAUUGAAUCAAUCUGGAGCCCAGAUAUGGAGUUCUGUAUAAGAAAAUUGCCUAUUUGUGAAAUGCACAAAUUUCUUUCUCUUUUUCACAUUUCAGGCACCCUGGAGCGUGGCCACAUUGUAAAUGUAUGGCUUUGUCAACCACUUUAUUUUCACUGUUUUGAUCUCACAUGUGUGGGGGCUCAAACUACUAUUUGCUUCACUUUAUAACUUGCACCUUGGAGAGGCUGGAUGAUAAAUGAGAGAUGAAUAAUUCCUUAUUGCUACUUAUCUGUUGAAUCUAUAAACUAGUGUCAGCAUUUACUCAGUUGGGUUUAAAGCUGUGCCUGGUAUACUUAUUAACCUGCUUAAAAUAAGCCAUAAAAAAUGGGCUUGGUAGGCAAUUGUUUUAACUAAUUUUUUAAAAUGACAUUGGUCAUUUCGCACUAACUUGUGGGGUGACCUUUGGCAAAUCACUUAACCUCCCUGGGCCUCACCUGUAAAACGAAAGGCGGGGGCGGGGGGGGGCUUUAAGAGCCUUGCAGCUCUGUCAUUCUUUGAUUAAAGGGUUUCAGAUGAGUAAAUUAAAGGAGCCCAAUUAUACAUAUUAGAUCAAUUACAAAUCAGUUCACACAGACCAUCUCAGGAAUCUUUGGCAUAAUCCUGGAGGAUGGGGAGGUAACACUUACUCACUAAAGCAGAGCAUUUUGAGUUUUAUUCUGUUACUUAUCAGUGGUGUGACCUUUGGCAAUGCAACAUCUCAGAGUCUCAGUUUCCUCAUCUAUAAAACGGGCAUAACAUGCUAAUAAUAUCCACACUGAUUAUGCCACAGAGCAAUCAACUGUGAAGAUCAAAUAUGAUACAUAUGUGAAAGCACUCUGAUAAAUAUUAUUCCUUGUCCUCAAUUUAUAGACGAGCUGAUCGAUCGAGGUGCUGUUUGGUUAAUCAGUUUGUAGCAGGGCCAUGGGAAGGCCAUUGUUUGACUCUCUCAUUCUAUUUUGAUUACACAUGUGAAUUAUCUUAAAAUCAUUCAAAGUUUGAACACUUAGGAUACUUCUCCACAGGGGUCAAUGUGUGUUCAAGAAAACCCCAUGCCUGGUGAGACAUUUCUGAGAAUGUGAAAUGGCAUGGUGAUAAGAAAAUCAGCCAACAUCUACUGGCCACAGACCUCAGAACUCCUAGCUGGUAGAAAAUAAAGCCUUUUGCGAAGGCUUUGAAAAUAUGCACCCUUCUUAUACCCCUUGCUUUGGGAUGCAUCCAGACCAUAUGGUAGACCAAUGACUUUGGGAUUUUUUUCCCCUUCAAAGACCAUUGCAGAUAAAUUUGUUGUUGCUGAGGACUUUUGUUGUAGAGAAUCAGUCAGCAAAGAUGUCUGAAACGUGCCCCUGUGAGAUCAUUCUUGAAGACUUUACCUACAACCACACUGGUACUGUGCAGGGGGUGGCAAAUGUGGUCUGAAGAUAAAUAUGGUGACUGACUCUGCCCUGUUUGCCCCAGAGAUGGAGAAGGGCAGAGAGAAACUGACGCCUGUCUACAAAAAAACUGAAACUCUGAAGUUCUGCCAGAAUUCUAUUCAUGUUCCUUUACCACCAACCAACCAAAGUUUGACCUCAAAGUUAAAAAAAAAAAAAAAAAAAAAACUAUCAUCUGUCUAUCUAUCUAUCUAUUGCUUAGAGAGAGAAGAUAUGAGUGCUAUUUUAAGUCUAUAUCCACUACUAUAUUCAGGUGACAAUUUUUUAUUUGCUCAAUAUUUAUUUGAUAAUUAAUAUUAAUGAAACUGGACUUCGGCUCCAUGCUACUAUUCUCUUUUGUUGACUGAAUGUGUUACAUUAAAUUAAAAAUCUCAGUAGGAGAUCAUUUGAAAGUUCUCCUAAGGUGACAGUGGGAUUUCGUUUGUACUUCUUCAUAUCCCCACCGUCCUCCCAACCCCAUCUCACACUCUGCGUAGAAAGUGAGAGGAAGGCAGCUUUCAUCUUUACAAACCACUACUUGUUUCUCUACAAAUAAUAACAAACUAUUUCAGUUUCGAAAAUGGCACUUGACACCCAUUAAUACUUGCCUUGUUGUUCACUUGGUCUUCAGUUGCAUUCUUAGUGCUUACCUUUCUUGCUGUCACAAAAGUUUUCCUUUCUAAAUACCCGCUCCAGCUUUUUGGCCACUAGGAAAGGCCUGUCUGUCCCUCCCCUGCCCAAGUUCCCCUCCUCUUCUCCUGGGUCUGGAUAAUCAGCUUUUAUUUGCAGCUGGACCAGCACCUGGCCUUACAUUCCACCACAUCCUUCUGCCAGCAAAGGGAGUUUGGAGAAGAGGAAAAAGUUACAAGAACUUAGACUAUUGUUUUCAAUUUCAGAAACAUUCAAGGUUACAAGUGAAAUUCUGAGACAAUCUGGAUGGCUGUGAAAACAUUUUCUAAAGGGGGAGGGGGAACCUCUUCAUGGAAAAAAUCACUCCCAACAAGUGUAAAUGUCUCUGAAGUCCAGGACUGUUUUGGUGUUUGAGUCUAUUGAGUUUUGGGGACUUUAAAGCUGGAUUUUCUAAAAUGAGUAUUUGUUAUAGGCACCAGAGUCACAAACUCUUAGGGAGAGAGAAUCUGAUCAAUCCCUGUGACUCUCAAAAUAUUUCUUUGUUUAAUUUCAAAGAAAUAGGAGAUCAUUGUAGUUCUUUUAGAAAAUACAGAUAAGUAUAGAAAAACACAAUCUAUCCUUAACCACACCACCCAGAAAGAACCAUGGAGAACAUCAGUGUUUUUUCUCUCUCUCUCCCCAAUUUCUCACCAGUUUCACACUGUAUAGAAUGUUUCACAAUCUACAUUUUAUUUUUUUAAAUUAUGAGACAUUCCCAUGUCAUCAAAUUUUUAAGGAGAGUUUGAUGGCUACAUUAUGGAUUUUGCUAGUUUAUAUAAAUUAACUUAUUGUUCAGAGUUUACAUAAUUUUUCUGUUUUUCACUAAAAUAAAUAAAUGUUUGAAGUAUCCUUGUCAAAUCCACAUAAACUUUGUUAGGUAAAGCAAGAUAAACCUAUGAAUAUCUCCUUGGAAUAAAGUGCUAUUACCAGAAAAAAAAAAAGGGACAAAAAAUGCAAACAUGUGUAGUGUUUUGGAUACAUAUUGAUAAACUGCCUUCUAGAAAGAUUGUAUCCAUAAUUCCCACUACCACCAACAACACUCAAUUUGGGGUAAGAUAAUUUUAAAUAUAUUUAUCAAAUGAGUUCCCAUAGUGGUGCAGCGGAAACGAAAUCUACUAGGAACAAUGAGGUUGCAAGUUCAAUCUUUGGCCUCGCUCAGUGUGUUAAGGCUCUGCUGUGGCUGUGGUUUAGGCCAGCAGCUGUAGCUCUGAUUUGACCCGUAACCUGGGAACCUCCAUAUGCUG
rnacentral:lncRNA from 1 species